AACAAUACACGACUCUCGGCAACGGAUAUCUAGGCUCUCGCAUCGAUGAAGAACGUAGCAAACUGCGAUACUUGGUGUGAAUUGCAGAAUCCCGUGAACCAUCGAGUCUUUGAACGCAAGUUGCGCCCGAAGCCAUUAGGCCUAGGGCACGUCUGCCUGGGCGUCACGCAUCCGUC
rnacentral:rRNA from 1 species